CCGCGGGCGCGAGAGCGGCGGGAAGGCCCCCACCCUGCCGCGCGCUCCUGGCCGCAGCUCGCGGAGGUGGGCGCUGGGCGCCCCCAUCUUACAGGUGGGGAAACUGAGGGCCAGACAGCGGUAGGACUCAGCUUGGCAGCGGCGGGGCCUGGGUGCUCUGGCCAACAGCCUGUGCUUCAAGGGGACGGGGACAACUUCUGGGGCAAGUGGGGGCGAUCCGAGAGGCAGGGGACACACCUAAGCCCCACGCCUGCUGGGCAGGGUGAGAGGAAGAGACGCGCGGGGCUGGCCGCGCGAGGCUCGCGGCCCGCACAGCCUCGGAUCCGCGCGCCUGCUGCGUGUCCUGGCAGAGGCUGCGCACUGACCUGGCCAGCCGGCCCGAGGCUCCAUACCUUCUCCCGGGCGCGCCUCCGCCCCAGCCUAACCCGGUAAUGCGCGCGCGGAGCCUCGCAGAAUGAGCUCUGUUGAGGUGGAGGGGAGGCAGCCCGAGGGAGGUGGCCGCAGCACAAGGUGUGAACCCAAGCAGGAAAGGGCUGCAGAGACCAUCCCAGACUGACCUCCGAGGACAAGAGAGGGGAAGAGACCAGCCCAAGGUCACCAGGCAAGUGAGCAGCAACGCAGACACUUGAGCCAGGCCACUCACUGACUCUUCUCUUUGAAGGCCAACAGAGCCAGGGGUUCUGAGCCCACGGACACACACUUCUUCUUUCCUCCACUGAGCUCCCCUCCAAGGCGGAACCCCAGAGGAAGCCAGGAAACACAGCAGCCUCUAAGGCUACAGCUGUGGGGGACACCGGGUAAAAGGGUGUGCCUGGUACCCCUAAGAACACAAUCAACUCACAGACCACUCAUUUGAGGGGAAUCACUGCGAUCUCUGGCUCUUACCCCAUUUUUCUAAUAACUGUGGAAACAGGCUGUAAGAGGGGAGACAAACCUCCCCCUUAUCAACUAUUUCUUAUUAGCCAAGCUGACCGGGCCUCCAAGGUCACAAAGCUCAGGAAAGGGAAAGGACACAAGACAUGUAUUCAGUAUAUUUAUUGAGCAUCAGUGGACUAGCUAGAAGUGACUGCCAGUCCCACUCUGUUUUCCCAGCCACAGGGACUGCAUUUCAUUAAGAAAAAGAUCCCAGGUCUUCAGCAAUCCUUAGUCAGCUUCUGCAGGAUCUGAGACUUGCAGGCCCAAGUUCAGUCCCACAGGAGGCAGGGACCAGGGCCAUGGUACCUGGCCAAGACUCUCGCCCCAAAGGAGAAGAGUUUAGAGGAAGGCAAAGUAGCCUCGUCCCACCUCUCCACAAGCAGGAAAAGCUGACAGGGAUCAAGCACUCGCUCCUUCCAGUCUGAAUUUCUUGGGGGAAGCGCCCACAGCUAUAGAUGAAAAAGCUCCAGCCCAAGGUGCCUCAAACUUCUAGGAACACAGGAGUGGCCUGUGGAUGUGUCACCUGUUCAGUGUUCUGGGGCCUGACUCCUGGAUUUGCAUUACAACUUUGCAAUGUUGCUGGUGCUGCCAACCCCCGAUGGCAUUCUGAGUGGUGCUGGUGGAACAAAGCAAGUUGUUAAGAGCAAGAGGAAGAUGCCGAGGCUCUGGAGAGACUCCUGGAGCGUCACCUGCUCACCAUGGGCCCACCCCACCCCUAGAGGCCUUUCAAUUCCUGCCUAGGAAUGUACAAGGACUAUACAGUUGGGUCAAAGCUGAAAAAAGAAGGGAGAAAUCGAAUGUUGGCCAGUGCCUUCUGGGGAUGAUGGGUAAGGGACUGUGGUGUAGCGACUGCCCCAGACACGACGCUGUGCUGAGCACUGGUCCUGGAGAUGAAAUGAUUGCUACUUGGGAAAUGACAACAGAAUGCCUAGAGAUCUUCAGUGGCAGCAUGCACUGGCUGGUCACCUGUCUCGGAAGUCAGGCUUCAGGAUUCUCUUAAGAAUCACGUCUCCACCCGUCUUUUUUGGGGGGGCACAGUGAGCCGACUGAUCUUCCCAUUCAUUUCCAAGCUCAACAAUGCCCCUUCCUCCUCUGUAACUCCUUUCCCCAAAUAGGGCUCUUCUCACAAGUUGAAACAGAGACCACAAGCUCCUGAAGUCUCCCAAGGGAGGGAGGCCUGUUGAUGGCCCACUGCAGGUCACUGAGCGGAGCCAGAGGUGCCCCACCUGGGCGAGAGGAAGGGGCAGGCUGAGGCAGUGGCAGUGAGUUCAGCCUUUCAUGGUCCCUUAUCCACGCAGGGUUUGAACCAGUAGAUUCGAGGGUCCCCAGGGGCCGUAGAGCCUAUUAGCAUGGGGGGACGCACCGUGCCGAUGCUGAGUAGACCCUGGAACACAGGCUCCGCUGUGCGGGGCCUAUUUCUUUUUAUAAUGGAAGAACUGUUCAAUCACAGCAUUUUCCUCUUUACAAGAAACCUCAACAAGAGCCUUAUCGUGGCCCGUGUGUCCUGGGGGGGCACCAUUCCGAGACUGCCAGGGCCCCCGGGGAGGAGGCAACACGUGUCGUAGGGGGCUGGGAACGGAGCCUGGCAACUGAAGGGAAGAUUGGACAAAGGCCUCGGAGCUUUGCUUUCUGUCCUAUUUCAAUCCAAACCACUCAGGGCUGAGCACUCACGCACGGCUGCCUGCGGGCACAAGCCUCCUCUUUCUCCAACACUUAACACGCUGCAACCCAGGCCCCACCCUUGCCCUCCCAACUGCUGAGAAACGGAAGCUGUCUUCAGACCUCGGACAUCUGAGUCGGCUGGAGAAUGGACACAGUUCGUGACACAGUGGUGAACUCCACAUGUCAACAGGGCUGUCGGGAUGGAGAACCCUACCAUGGGAACAAGGCCCUUGGAAAUGACUCUCCCUCUCUGCCAGCCAUGCCCACAGGUCAGAGGGGAGAAAAGCUGGGCAUGGGCCAUACACUGGAACCCACAGGAGCAAAGGCACAUCAGCGAGCCCUCCAGGUGUACUGAGAGGCCUUGGGGGGCCUAGGCAGGAAGUGCAGGUGAUGGGGUGCUUAUCCAGGCGUGCCUGAGAAAAUACCUCCCCGCAGAGGCAGGCAAGAUGGUGAGUGGGAGUCAGCACCAGGCGCGUCUCCGGCAAGGACUUAGCCUGUCUGGAAAGGAGAUCACCUAGCUGGUGCUUGAUCAGUAAGAGGUAGAGAGGCUGUGACCCUGGGGGGCCCACCCUUGGGAGUUGGGGUUUUGGGUCACAAGCACAAACACACCAAGAGGCCCUACCCCCAUUUUAAACACAAAAGUCAAAAAAGUAGAGUGAGAUCCUAAGAAGCUCCCCCCCAGGGCUUUUCUAGUGAACCCCAUGGGUUCACUCAAUCCCCCCUCCAAGAAAAACCAUGUGACACACAGAGGGGCGGGGACGGACAGCAGCAAAUGAGUCCAGCGCAACAAUGUUAACUCAUUUUCUGGGAAGGACAGUUUUAGGUGCAGAUAAAAUCCAGCCCAGCCCCAAACCUAAACAGCUCCGUCCACCUGCACUAUUCGAUCCCAAUGAGCACCACAGGGGCCUCCCACCAGGAGAAGCAGGGACGCGCCACAGGCAGCUGAGCAGAUGCCACAGAGGCUCCAGACGUAAACCAGAGGUGACUGGCAGCCUGAUGAGCCAAGCCUCAGAGGCGGCGCUGCCUGGAGCUUCCUGAGGGAGCAGGAGUGUGGGAAGAAGGGGAUCUGGAGCAAUGGAGGACCCACAGUUCCUCCCAUGGAGCUUCCACUUGACUUCUGCACAACCCAACUCCCUUGCAGAGAGGACGGAGGCUCAAAGGGGAACAGACUUGUCCAGGAUCAUAAAAGGAGCUGGUUGCUAGCAGCAGCUUGGGGUUUCCUUGGUUACAAAACAAAGUCAGGCUGGGGGCAGACACAAUUGUGAGUGGCCAAAGUGCCAGGGGCAGUGUUCCAAUCCAGCCAGUGGCUGCUGAGGCCUAUGGCUUCCCUGGAGUGUCCCCACUUCCUAUAGCCCAGGGCCCUCCUGGCUUAGCAGCACUGUGAAGCCACUCUGCAGCUCUUUCAGGGCUGGUGCCCCACCCCCACCCCGCAGCAGUGUCACUCCACAGGCCCCGGCCUACAAAGUCUUAGCCCUUAAAAGCAGGAUUUUCCUCCUUUCCUUUUUUGAGCAUGUUGGGAGGCAGAUGAUGUCCUUUGUUUGCGAUUAACACAGUAUUUAUGCUGGACAAGCUCUUAGGGGAAUUCGGACAGCCUCCUGUGCCAGUGUGGUGUGAGGAAGGCCAAUGAGCCAUCCGGGUUGUGGGGUGGAGAGCCUGCAGGAGCAGCCACCUAGGCAGGAACCUUGGUUUCACCUCCAUUGCAUGACAUGGCAAAGACUUGGUCCAGGUCCCAAUUCUAAAAGCAGACCUAUGUCACCUCAAGUUCAUACAAUACCUGGCAACCUCUUCUUUCCUAAAAUGUAGUGGCGCUCAAAAGAGGAACUUAGGAAGUAUGUGGCACGGUUGGCAGUGUGCACACCGACCUGACAGAACUGGUCCUGAGGUGUGCUUGUUGGGGGAGGGGAAGCACAUAGGAAAGACCUGUUCAGAGUCCUCUGCUCCUGGACAGUGUGAUUCACUAAGCCACAUCUCAACAGUGACAAUCUCAAGACAGGAAGUAGCGUCUGGCCUGGUCUUCUGCAUUGCCUCUUGCUGCCCGAGGCUAGAGGCAUCUGCUCCAGAUUUCUUGUAACAAAAAAAAAAACAAAAACCUGAAGCUGCCCGCAGAGAAAACUCUCACAAAAGGCAUAAAUCUUCAACAAACAUUGUAGCCGUGUUUUGAAUACCUGGACAGGAUCCUGCACAUAAACAGGGACUGAAGCUGUUGGCCACUGUCCUUUGUUUUAUGUGGGCCAGGGAAAGUUCUAAACAGGAAGACUGAACCCUGCCCACCAUCCCCAGCUGAAGGGCUCCAGUGCAGUCCAGCAGUAGGCCGUGGAGAGGGGCUAGGGACAUGGGCUGUGUGCUCAAGGCCUCUUGCAGGGGGGAAGAAAAGUCCCACAUUUCUG
rnacentral:lncRNA from 1 species